UACGUAGGGUGCAAGCGUUAAUCGGAAUUACUGGGCGUAAAGCGUGCGCAGGCGGUUGUGCAAAACAGAUGUGAAAUCCCCGGGCUCAACCUGGGAACUGCAUUUGUGACUGCACAGCUUGAGUGCGGCAGAGGGGGAUGGAAUUCCGCGUGUAGCAGUGAAAUGCGUAGAUAUGCGGAGGAACACCGAUGGCGAAGGCAAUCCCCUGGACCUGUACUGACGCUCAUGCACGAAAGCGUGGGGAGCAAACAGG
rnacentral:rRNA from 1 species